AACGAACGCUGGCGGCAGGCUUAACACAUGCAAGUCGAACGCUCGUAGCAAUACGGGAGUGGCAGACGGGUGAGUAACGCGUGGGAACGUACCCUUCGGUUCGGAAUAACCCGGGGAAACUCGGGCUAAUACCGGAUACGUCCUGCCCCUUAAACAAGGGUGGGAGAAAGAUUUAUCGCCGAAGGAUCGGCCCGCGUCCGAUUAGCUAGUUGGUGGGGUAAUGGCCCACCAAGGCGACGAUCGGUAGCUGGUCUGAGAGGAUGAUCAGCCACACUGGGACUGAGACACGGCCCAGACUCCUACGGGAGGCUG
rnacentral:rRNA from 1 species